AUUGGCUGGCGUUACCCAAACAGGUGAACCUAUCAGUGUUUGUACUUGAUCAUGAUUGGUCAGCUGGGUAAGUUUCAUGAGCCAAUUAGUGCUGGUGAUGUGCAUAUAAAAGGGGGAAGUGUUUGGUUGCUUGGGAUGCAUCCAGAAUACAAUGGGUACUGCCCAGUGUCAUCCUUGGUACCGUCCCUUUGUGACAUGUGGUGCUCCUGAAUGAGUGCAAGCAAUAAGGGCCUGCAAGUAACUGUAAUCCUGUGUGGUGAGCGACCAUGUGUAUUGCAGCCUUGUACUGGUUUCUACUUGUACUGGUUUGAUUGCACAUCCAGGGAUUUCCGGUGACCUUAAUUGAAGCCUUACAAACAUCAAGUGACUGCUCUGCUCUGUUUUGUUAUAGUUUUGUCUGGAAUUCAUCUGGGUCCGUCUGUUAUAUUGUUUUUGUAUUGUUUGAUGCGUGGAUUUAGGUGUGAGGCGUUGGCCAUGGUACCUUGUACUGCGUGUCCACAUGGAGUGCUAUGUUUAAUACUUGAUUUUUCACAAGAGUGCGUGUCAUGGGUAUUGAGUGUGGGGUAGAAAUCUGAUGGUCUUUGCUGGCCACCUCCCUCUUUAUUUUUCUUAUUGUUUUGUAUGUUACUGGUAAAGACUUGUGAUUUAUCAAGACCUUGUGUGAAGUGUUGUAUUCGUUUUAUUAAUUGUAUGUUAAUAAAGU